rnacentral:tRNA from 1 species
GCGUCUGUCGUAUAAUGGUUAUUAUCUCUGCCUUCCAUCAUCGGCAGCAGCUAUGUGUUAGCAGAGGACGCGAGUUCGAUUCUCGCCAGACGCA